AACUCCUGAGGUUUUUCAUAGAUAUAUGUGUGCUUAUGUUAAUAAAAGCACAUUAAGCCCUUAUAGUUUAAUUGUCUUGUAAUUGAAACACAUCAUCUCUUUUGGCAUUGUUUCUUCAAUAAAUAAUUUCUGGUUUAAUGCAGAAACUAUCCAAGUUUUAUAUGUACUCCACAGGAAGUAGUGAAGUUGUCUGCCAACUUUAUUUCCUUGUUCAAUCCUAUGAUUAAAUUGAGGAAAGAUGUAUGAACCACAUUUUUGCUCCAAUGUCAGUGCCAUGAACUACUAAACAUUAGAUAAUGUUCCAUCAUGGGAAGAACUUAAAUGACAGCAUUAUAGUGGAUGAGAAGCGUAAACAAGCAAAUUACAAGGGGUCUGGUUUACUAUUAAACCAAGGCAUACAUAGUUGAAAUGUCUAUGCAAAUUUCUAGCAAUGUCCAAGUGUUUUUACCUUUUCUACAACAUCUGUUUUCCAUUUGACUAUAAAAUUAAUGCUUUUAUAGAUAUAAAGUAACAUAUUUGUUCAUAUCUUGUCAACAUUUCAGGUCUUUUGGGUUCUCGUGUAUGAUGCCAAGAAGAGAUAUGCUCUAUCAGCAAAUUGCAUUGAGGAUGUGCUUUAGAAAUUCAUCAAGUGCCAUGAAUCUUUAGAGGCUGUAUGUAUAGUAAAGGGCAUUUGUGACUGAAGUCUGUACACUUCAAGAACCUUUCUGCAAAUGAAACCAUUGAACCUGGUUCUGAUUGUCCAUGUAUUUAAUGUCACAUUUUUCAUUUUUACAAUUAGCAAUGAGGGUUUGACUUGUACAAUGUGGAGUUCGAUUGUUUCAGUUUGAUGCACUUUUUUUCUUCUUUUUUUUUGUAAUCUAGAACAGGUAUCUGGAUCUGGACCACAGGAAAGUUUUGAGAGUUGCAGGAAGGAAAUUAUUGGAAUUAGUCACUAGUUGUUGUAGUUGGAGCUCAAGGCGUCAUUGCGGCUUGUUUUCAUUUUAAGGGUUACCUAUGCAUAGUCUAGUUUCUGUAUAAUCCCUAUUUUGGUUGAAAACAGGGCUUGAAUCAUGAAAAUGAUGGUGUGUUCAAUUA